AUUGAACGCUGGCGGCAGGCCUAACACAUGCAAGUCGAGCGGCAGCGGGAAAGUAGCUUGCUACUUUUGCCGGCGAGCGGCGGACGGGUGAGUAAUGCCUGGGAAAUUGCCCAGUCGAGGGGGAUAACAGUUGGAAACGACUGCUAAUACCGCAUACGCCCUACGGGGGAAAGCAGGGGACCUUCGGGCCUUGCGCGAUUGGAUAUGCACAGGUGGGAUUAGCUAGUUGGUGAGGUAAUGGCUCACCAAGGGGACGAUCCCUAGCUGGGCUGAGAGGAUGAUCAGCCACACUGGAACUGAGACACGGUCCAGACUCCUACGGGAGGCAGCAGUGGGGAAUAUUGCACAAUGGGGGAAACCCUGAUGCAGCCAUGCCGCGUGUGUGAAGAAGGCCUUCGGGUUGUAAAGCACUUUCAGCGAGGAGGAAAGGUUGAUGCCUAAUACGUAUCAACUGUGACGUUACUCGCAGAAGAAGCACCGGCUAACUCCGUGCCAGCCGCCGCCGUAAGAC
rnacentral:rRNA from 1 species